rnacentral:misc_RNA from 1 species
ACGAGUGCUCCUACAUAUAUCAAUCUUCGUCCUUUUUUUCUCUUGCUGUCCCAUCGAACCCUUGUCCUCUUUUUCUCCUCUUCCUACCUCGUUUUGUGUGCCUUUCGGCGCACCUGUAGUCUGUCCGCUCUCUCUCCCUCCCCUUCAUCUCUCAUCCUCCGAAAAACGCCGCAUCGUCUUCCUCGCACGCGUGUGGUUUCGUUCCAAAAAGUCGGCGCCGUUUCUUGUGUUUCCUUCGUUUUCUAUCUAUCUUGUGAUUGUCAGGCUUUCGCGUGUGUGUGUGUGUGUGCGUAUCUUGUUUGGUUCGUGUAUCGUACGCGUCUGGCGUGUUUCCAGUUUUUCGUUUUCGGUCCGCACUGUGUUCUCUCCCCCCCCCACACACACACACGUGCGCGCGCACGCAGACCGAGCUUGUGAAGCAUAGCCAAUAGAAAAAAAUGGACAUUCUCACGCGACACUUGCAGGCCAUGGCGGAUGCCGUCGACUUUCCGUAUAUGGAUCGCUGGCUGGAGGACCAUAUUGACAUUCCCAUCGUCGCCACGGCACUGUACCUGAUCCUCGUCCAUGUCGUGAGCAAAACCUUUAUGAAGAACCGCCCCGCCUACAACCUGCGCACCUUGAACAUCGUGUGGAACUUGCUUCUGUCCCUCUUCUCCUUCGUUGGCGCCUACUACUGUGUGCCGCGUCUGUACGAGUUGGUGACGGCGCCCGCGAUCAGCGGGUUAGAGCCGAGCUCGCUGCGAUAUGUUGCGAACAUGACGCCAGCCAUGCGCCGCAACAUCGUCAUCCCGCCUGGGUUCCGCGAGGGUGUCGAUGCUGUAAGCGUCCGCGGCUCCCUGGACACGUCGAUGUGCGUCUUCAAGGAUGACAUGUACCGCCGCAACAUCUCGGGACUCCUUUGCCUGGCCUUCAUGUUCAGCAAGAUCCCUGAGAUGCUCGACACCGCCUUCCUUGUCUUUCAGAAGAAGCCCGUCAUCUUCCUCCACUGGUAUCACCACGUCACCGUCAUGCUGUACUGCUGGCAUGCGUGGAUGUCAUCAACCAGCAGCGGGCUGUGGUUUGUCUGCAUGAACUACGGCGUGCACUCCAUCAUGUACUUCUACUACUUUGUGGCGGCCUGCGGGUACAGCAAGCUGGUGCGACCUGUCGCCCCGCUCAUCACCUUCCUGCAGAUCGCUCAGAUGGUGGUCGGCAGCGUCAUUGCCGUGUAUGUAUUCUACAUGGACCAGUUCGGAGGCGGUUGCGACUGCCGCUCGUCGAACGCGAAGCUGGCAUUGAUGAUGUACGUCUCCUACUUCAUCCUCUUCACCAACUUCUUUCGUAGUCGGUACAUCAAGAAGAAGCCGAAGUCGGCCUCACCGUCGGCGCUGCCGGUGAGGUUGAACAACGACUACAAGAAGUACGAGUGACGGAAAAUGUUUUGUUUUUCGUUCGAUGGCAGAACAGCGUAGCGGGGAAGCGAGGUUGCCGGUAGCACGAGCGGUCCAGUCGUGUUUCCGCGCACGAGUAUGGUCGCAGUCGUUGUCGUCUUGUUGUAGCACAGUUGCGAAGGUGACCGUCUUGUCGUGCCUCGGCGAGGACGAAGCUGUCCUGGGCCAUGGGAAAGAAGUCCUUCGCGUGGCGGCUCCUUCGGCCUGCACCUUCUUCACGGCAUGGCACACAGACACAUUGGGCGCACACACGGAAACAGACACAUAGGCAGGAAAACGAGGUUUGUGGGUGUGUGCGCGUGUGUCUUUCUUCUACAUGUGUAGCAACGGUGGUGGGGAGGGGAAGGGUUCGGGGGAAACACCGAGCGGAACGUGGAGGUGAGACGCGGAAAGGCAACUGUCGAUGACGAUCGUGCAGGGGUGACACAUGAGCUUAUACGGCAAGGCAAGGCAGAAGGCCGUGAUGGGGACGCCUGUGACUCGUAGUGGGCCUUUUCGACAGACAGACAAAGAAGGGGAAGGCAGAGAACAGAGUGGUAUGGGCGCUGCUGGCGCAUCAAUCGGCUGCUGGUAGAGGGGAAAGAAGGACUGCGAUGGAGGGAGCUGUUCAUAUGAGCGCGUGCGCGUGUUGAGGCAGGCAGCAGACCCAUUGCAGCAAGGUUCCUCUUGCUUGCGCUCCUUCUCCUGCUACUUACCUGUGCCCAUAAUGUGUGUGUGUGUGUGUGUGCAUUGGUAGAGUCUCGACGGGAAAGGAAAAAGGGAGUACCAAAAACGAACGGUGGCGGCGAGGGCAGGACUACGGUGACUGCCAAGACUAACGACAUUCACGGCAACACGCAGAGAGAAAGAGGGGUGCAAGCCGAAGCGGUUCGCUCACGCGAGAGGGCUUCAGCACAACAUCAGCGCGUGAGAGAGGUGGGCGCUGGUCCACCAGUCACAAGACACCAGCGAACAUGCACGCAUUCAACGGCCACGUUGAGUAGGUACCAAAGGAGAACUGUAUUGUUUGUGACCUCGAAGCGAGCAGUCGUUCAGUACACCCGCACGCAAGCGAAACACAGACGAAAAGGCUUCAGCGAUUUGCGCGCCGCUGGUCGUUGGAUGUGCUCUUGCAUCGUGUUGUAUGCAUGCGCGUGCAUGCCAAGGCACGGAGUCGUGCGUUCAGCGGUGAACUUCCCAGCGCCUUUUCAGCAAUCGCCGCACCGCGGCCUCGUCUCCCUCGCUCAUCGCGUCGCCUUUCACUCCCCUCUCACGUUCGUGCGUGCCUGUGUGUCUGUGUUUGCUUCUUUAUCGGUAUUGUUGCCUUCUCGCUUGGACCGCCCACGUCCGCCUGCUGCGCCGUUCGUGUGCGUAUGCAUACACGCGUGCACAUGUGCGUGCGUGUUGGGGGGAGGGGGGCGUCUGAGCAAAGUACAGCCGUGCGAAGUUGGAGUUUGCCGCCAGUCGUUGAAAUGGGUUUCGAAAGAGGAUCGGACACAGCGGGGCACGGGAAGGUUGCGUUCGCGCGAAGGGAGAAGGGAGGGGUGGAGGACGGCGAGGCUUGGGCGAAGACAAGUCAGGAUUGUGCGCGCGGAGCCAUAUGCGCGCACAUGCGUGGGGCGGAAAGCCGUAUCCCUUCACCACCACCAAGACCACUCCCCUCCCCGCCCCUUGUUGUUUAUACCGUUCCGCAAGCCGUCGAUGCCCAGUGAAAGUGGCACAGACCUGCCGCCCGUCAAGCACACAAUCGCCCCACACCCGCCCUUCCCCUCGUUCUUCUUCUGUCGGUCAGCCUGUAGUGGGGCCUAUUCUUCGUCUUUUCCCGUCCCUGCUUUGUUCGUCGUCGCUGUUCCUAUAGAGUGCGCGAAAAGAAGACGCGGCGUUGCUCUACAUGCAUCUCGCGUUGUUGUUGUUUUUUCAUUAUGUUUCUUCAGCCGCGCGGGGCUCGACAGAUGAACAUGUGAAAAGACCCGCUUGUAUCUUUCCUUGUCUUUUUUUUUGUUUACUAUUUCUCUCUCCCCCUCUCUCGCACGAAGACAAUACAUUUGUGCUUCGGCAUUAUAGCAUGAUGCUUGCGCGACACACACAUACAUGUGUGUGUGUGUUCGCGUAGCCACAAAGUCUUCGCCCGUGGUGUCUCUAAUCCUGUAGGGUACGUUUCCGAUUGCUUUAUCAUCGUUUCGGUGUAGUUUUUCUUCUCGUUUAAAGUGCAGUCCGCGUCUUUCUCAGCGUCGCGUUCGCGUGAAAGUGUCGUCAUGCGGCUUCCCGGUUUUGUAAGGAAGCAGGCACGCCGACAGCUCACUGCGCCACCGGCGGUUUUGAACAGAUGGCACUGUCGACACGGAUUGCGCAGCAAGAGGGGCUCCCCACCACCGCCCACAAGUACAAAACACACUCGAGACAGCGCGAGAAUGUCUCAUGGCCCAUCUCGCGAGUAGCGUAAUGCCUGCGUGGGCUCUCUCCCACAGAAGAUGCUGGCGUUCUGCUCGACCAGUGUCCCGGCGGCAUUACUCCCAUUGCAGCGAGUGGGACGUGUUUGUGGCCCUGGUCACAAGGUCUGUCUAAAAGGAUCAAUGUGACCCCGCACGCUUAGCGUCGUCGCAGCGGAAUUUGUUCGCCUAAAUGUUGGCGGGAUGCUGAGAAUUGCAUGCGGGCUAGCAGGCAGUGGCAGGAGUGCCCAUCAUGCUCUUUUCAUCGCCUCACCGUCUCCCUCUCUUCCCCCAGUGUCGCGGCAUUCUCGCUGGCGCUCUUUCAAUCUACAACGCUUGCCAUUCUCUCCGUUGUAGCGGUGAUUCUUGCGACUUUCUUUUUUUUUAACGCUACUUUACGUUUUCUUCGGUAUCUUCGCGGCG